CCAGCAGUCAAUGCCUCGUUUCUCGUUCACGCGAGUCGGCAUUGUGCAGCAAGCAGCGGCACCAUG
rnacentral:snoRNA from 1 species